rnacentral:rRNA from 1 species
UACAGAGGGCUCGAGCGUUAAUCGGAAUCACUGGGCUUAAAGCGUGCGUAGGCGGGUGUGAAGGCACCUUGUGAAAUCCCACGGCUCAACCGUGGAACGGCUUGGUGAACCACACAUCUUGAGGCAGGUAGGGGUGGCUGGAACGAUAGGUGGAGCGGUGAAAUGCGUAGAUAUCUAUCGGAACGCCUAAGGAGAAGUCAGGCCACUGGGCCUGUCCUGACGCUGAGGCACGAAAGCGUGGGGAGCAAACGGG